rnacentral:lncRNA from 1 species
AACAUCAAAAGGACACAAAGCAAGCAAGCAACCAUUGUAGUUGGAAAAUAUCUCUGUCCGAUCUAUUUAAUCUGACCGCAGUCGAUCACGACGGGCUUGGAAAACUUGUCCUUAAGAGGUUCGUGUGAUAUGAUCCUGACCACAUCCAAUCCUUCAACAACUUGGCCGAAGACGACGUGUAGAUCGUCGAGUUCCCAGUUCUCGGUCAAGGAGAUCAAAAACUGAGAUUGGUUGGUGUCAGGACCAUUGUUGUUCAUGGAGAGGAUACCCGGACCGGUGUGCUUUUUGAUGAAGUUCUCAUCCUCGAAAAAACCUCCGGCGUAGAUUGAUUCGCCUCCGUAUCCUUUCCUUUCGUAAGUGAAAUCUCCUCCGCCAAUGAUAUAAUCGGGGCACAUAUGGUGGAUGAUUGAUCCUUUGUAAUGAAGUGGCUUACCCUUCUUCCCCAUGCCUUUCUCGCCUGUACAGAGGGCGCGGAAAUUCUCUGCCGUCCGUGGGGUCGUGUCGGCAAAGAGCUCCAUCACGAUCCGACCAACAGCUUUGCCGCGCACCGCCAUAUCAAAGAAAACCUUUGGGUUAGCCUUUCCUGGAGAGCAUUCUAGGGGCUUUUGAGAGGACGGAUUCGUACAUAGAUUACCAGCUGCAGCAGAGUUUGGGUUAAUGCUAAUGUUAAGUCCUUCACCAGCCGGAAUGUUUAUGUUGAUGGUAAAUCCACCGGCCAUUCUCUGAGUUUGGAUCUAAGGAAUUUGGAAUGUUUAUGUUGAUGGUAAAUCCACCGGCCAUUCUCUGAGUUUGGAUCUAAGAAAUUAUAUAGGUUUCCUGGGGCUGGGAGGAGUUAUCGAGAGAGAGAGACAACAUAUAGUAGUUCCAAUGAAAAUAAAUAGUAAAGUGAAGGAAGAUCGUCGGCCGUAUUUGUAGAUUUUUUAAACAGUAUUUUAGGUUAACUGUGGUUAGAUCGAAUCUCACUAGCGUUAAAUCUAAUAUGACUGCUUCUAUUUUGAAAAUAUUUACUGAACCAUGUCACUCCGUUUUAAAAUUUUUUUAUGCUUUUUUAAUUAUUAAAAUAUAUUAUCGAUAACCUUUAAAUCUAACUGCAAUUUAUUUUAAAAUUUCUUUUCUUUCGGAUCAAGCUAAUUAAAAACACUCACAUUUUUGUUGGUUCUAUCAACAACACUUACGUUUUUUUUUGUUUUUCUUAAGUAACACUUGCCUUUCAAUAUAAAAAACGUUUAUUGUACAAUCGCUGUCACAUAUUGGAUACUGCAUUUUUCAACAUUUAAACUAUACAUUAUCAUACACAUCAGUGUUUCAACCAUGUUCCAAAACGGGUUCUUGGCGGCCGAUUAAAUCCCAGCGAAACUCUAUUCGACGGUUGGCCAAGGCGAUUUUAUCAUAUGCAGUCACACUAUCGGUUACGAGAAUUGUUUCUUUUUAAGUUUUGAUAGUAUAAAACGAGAUAUUAGAUGAUAUAUAUUAUGAGUUAAAACAUAAAAAAAGAUGUAAUUUCGAUGAAUUACGUGAAAAUAUCUUUAUUACCGCUAUGGAAGUGCAGUAGAGAUCGUAAGAUCUGGAGGAAAUUAUUAGGUAUGACGAAGCGAAUUGACCAUGUUACCCUACAUUAAAAGGAAAAAAAAAAUCUUAAAAUGGAACAAAACCGAGCUCAGUAGCGUUAAAUCUAAUAUGACUACUUCUAUUUUGAAAAUAUUUACUGAACCAUUUCACUCCUUUUUUUUAAACUUUUAUGCUUUUUUUAAUUAUUAAAAUAUAUUAUCGAUAACCUUUAAAUCUAACUGCAAUUUAUUUUAAAUUUUCAUUUCUUUUCCCUUCCUUUCGGAUCAAGCUAAUUAAAAUUACUCACAUUUUUGUUGGCUCUAUGAACAACACUCACGUUUUUUUUUUUUGCUAAGUAACACUUGCGUUUCAAUAUAAAAAACGUUUAUUGUACAAUCGCUGUCACAUAUUGGAUACUGCAUUUUUCAACAUUUAAACUAGGCCUGGGCAAAAUAACCGGAACCGAAGAACCGAACCGAAACCGAACCGAAAUACCCGAAACCGGAACCGGACCAAUACCCUCAAAUACCCGAACGGUUCCUAUAUUUUUAUAUCCGAAAUAACCGAACCGAACCGGAACCGAACCGAGAACCGAACGGGUAUCCGAAUAUAUAAAAAUAUUAAUUAUAUAUACAUAUAUAACAUCACUAAAUAUAUAUUUUUAAUUUAAAAUUCUAUUAAAAGUAUUUGAAAAUAGUUGAUGAUAACUAAAUUAUUAUAAAGUAUCCAAACUACCCGAAAGUAUCCGAAACUAUCCGGAUAGUUUUAUUCGAAAUAUCCAAAGUAAUCCGAAAUAUCCAAAAUUUUUAUCUAAAUCAUCCUAAUUAUUUGAUAUUUUACCUUAAAUAACCGAUAUUUUACCUUAAAUAACCAAUAUUUUAUCCAAAUUAUCCAAACUAUCCGAACUAUCCGAACCCGAACCGGAUCUAAAUGAGAACCGAACUUUUUCCGGAUAUUUUCCGGUUCCUACAUUUACUAUCCGAACCGAACCGAACCCGAAACUAUCCGAACCGAACCGAACCGAAAAUAGGUCAAGUACUAAAUGGAUCCUCUAGCCCCUAUCCGAACUACCCAAAACCCGAAAUACCCGAACCGAACCGAACCGAUACCCGAAAUGCCCAGGCCUAAUUUAAACUAUACAUUAUUAUACACAUCAGUGUUUCAACCAUGUUCCAAAACGGGUUCUUGGUGGCCGAUUAACCGAUACCCGAAAUGCCCAGGCCUAAUUUAAACUAUACAUUAUUAUACACAUCAGUGUUUCAACCAUGUUCCAAAACGUGUUCUUUGUGGCCGAUUAAAUCCCGGCGAGACUCUAUUCGACGGUUGGCCAAGGCGAUUUUAUCAUAUGCAGUCACACUAUCGGUUACGAGAAUUGUUUCUUUUUAAGUUUUGAGAGUAUAAAACGAGAUAUUAGAUGAUAUAUAUUAUGAGUUAAAACAUAAAAAAAGAUGUAAUUUCGAUGAAUUACGUGAAAAUAUCUUUAUUACCGCUAUGGAAGUGCAUUAGAGAUCGUAAGAUCUGGAGAAAAUUAUUAGGGAUGACGAAGCGAAUUACCAUGUUACUCUACAUUAAAAGGAAAAAAAAAUCUUAAAAUGGAACAAAAACGAGCUCCACUCGGGUUGAACUCAGGUAAAGUUGAGUGACGCUUUAGUACCACUGGACUAGGGAUAUUGUCAUGGGUAAAAUAACUCUAUCCGUCCCAAACCCGAAUCAAACCCGCCCAAAAAUACCGUAAACUAGAAAACCCGAAAAAAAUUCAGUACCAUUAGGGUAACCCACGAAAAACCGGUAGAAUUUUAGGUUUACCCGCGAGUACUCGAAUCUUUUUUGUCAAUAAUAUUUUUUCUAAAGUUUUUCUGCUUGUUCAAUCAAACUUAACAUGUUAGCUUUAUAUAAAAAAAUGGGUUUGUUAACAAUCUUUUUGUUUGUUGUUGAUAUGAGUUAUUUGAACUAAGCCAUGUAAACAAACAUCCACGCACUUACUAAGAUUAAUAAAAAAAAAAAAUCAAACAAAAAUUAAGAAAAAUAAAAAUAGAGCGAAAAGAUAUGGUUCAAUUCCAAGAAACGUGGUAAACAGAAUAUUCAAUACAAGAUUCUCGGCGAAUCCACUUCUCCGAACAAAAGAUAAGACAUUAAGUAAAACGCCAUCGUUUAAACUAACACUACAUUUUUUUAAAAAAUGCCAUAGGGUUCCCGAAACCAAGAAGGUAAAACCCGAUCGGAUAAUUUAUAAACCAAGAACCACCUAAAAUAAACCCGCGAAAUUUGGAGACUGAACAUACGGGUUUUGGGUUUUAGAUUUUAAUAGGGCUUAGGGUACCCUAUGGAUUUUUACCCAUUAUUAACAUUCCUACACUGCACCAUCAGAAAUUAUUAGAAAUAUUUUCUUCAAACAUUAAAUAACCUAAACUAUUAGAAUUUUUUUAAAAUAUUCAAACCUAAUCUCUGAUUAAUCCCCAAAUUUUCCAUUUGUAAAAUUUUUUGUGGAUUCCAAUCGACAAACCUCAAUUUUGUUUUAGAAAAAAUUAGUAAGAAGAAUAAGAGAAAAAGCUUUACAGGAUAUUAUAAUAAAAAAUUUAAAUAUUUUUUCCGAAGAAUACGAAUAUUUGAUACCUUAAUAAAACUAGAUUUAUAUUAAAUAAAUUUUAUUAUAGAUUGUAUAAGAAUCUACAAUUUUAUGAAUUAUCAAUACAAUUAAAACAAAAUUUUUUUAUCUACUUACAAAUAGCCUAGGUUAAACCAUUACAUUUAACUACAUUUCCUAUUAUUUAAAUUAAAUCUAACUUAAUUAUUAUUAAAUAUACAUAUUGCCUAAAAUUGAGGAAUUAAUUAAAUAAUCAAUUAUUUUUGAAACUUUUUUUUAUCAACAAUUAUUUAUUUUUGAAACUAAUUAAUUCAAUUUAUAUGAACACUAAAUAUAAGUAUCUAAUCUUUACGGGUUUUGCAUGAUAUACUAGAAUGUUAAAUACUAAAAUUUAAGUAACUAAUCUUUACAGGUGUAUUAAAUAGUAUAUGCCAAAUUCAGUUAUUUAGUUAUCAGAAAAUGGUGGCUCUAUUAGGACUAAAAUCGAUUUUACUAUUGUGCUUAAUAAUUUGAUAGGAUAAGGCAUAUAUUUAAUAUAUAGUUAAUUUAAGUAGAAAUUACUGAGAUUCAAAUAAAUGUAAUGGUCUAAUUAUAAAUUUUUGUAAGUAGAUGUUUAAUGUUUUUGCUUUAAUACAACCCACCUUUUGUAAGAACUAGGGCAGGCGGGUUAAAAAAUAAUAUAAAUUACUUAAGAUGCUUAAUUUAUUUUUAACUGAAAUUAAAAUUAAUUUUAACGUUUUUUAUUAAAUUUUUUUAUUAAAACAUUUUAUCUAUUUAUUUGACUAUUUAAUUUAAAAGUGUAAAUUUAUUAAUUAAUGAAAGUUUUAUUGAAAUUAUUAUUUUGUUUUUAAAUGUUUUUUUAAUUUAACUAUUGUAAUAGUUAAAAUUAAUUUUAAAAAUUGGUCGAUGAGUUUAGGGAAGUUAUAAGUAAUAAAUAAUAAGUAUUGAGAAGUUUAGACUACAUAAAAAUUCAAAAAUGAUCAUUACUAUUUAAAAUAUUAUAGAUGUUUGUUCGACUCUUAAAAUAUAUAUAGAUGAUGUUUGAAAAUAAAAUAAAUCACAUAAUCUAAGUAAGUCAUGAUUAGAAUUUUAAAAAUAAAUGGCACUUGGCAAUUAGUAUAGUAUAAUUCUUACACUUUACUAUAUAUAAUUAACUCAUUAUAUAUUAAUUAAUAAUUUUUAUUAUAUAUUCUGAUUUCAUUUAAAAUAUAUUAUUUAUGUAUAACAUGCUAAAGUAUUUUUAUUAUAAUUUUGGAUUAUAUAAUAUUUAUUUAAUCAGAUUUAUUCUUUUAAAUAAGAAGUUUUUAAACUUAAAAGAUUGGAAAGUAAAUUAUUUACUAUAUUAUUUUAAUAAUUUAUUUUAAAUAUAUGAUCAAUUGUUAAAUGAAAAUGAGUAAUUGUUUUUUAAUUUAUUCACAUAUAUAUUAAAUUAUUAAAAAAUGAAAAACAUUUGAUUAUUUUUUCAAAUCAAUAUAUAUAUUUUUAAUUAUGUAAAAUAAAAGAUUAUAAUGUUAUGGUAUACAUGGGGAGGAUGAUGACAUUCAUAAAGCUAUUUUUAAACAUAAUAUGAUUUUUAAAUACUUAAAUUAUAAUUAUAUUUGUAGAAUUGAAUUUGUUAGUUGUUAGAAGUGAUGAAAAUUGUUUUUCUUUAUAAAGACUAUGGAUCGUUACCCGCGCCAAGGCGCAGAGUUUUUGCAUUUUAAUCUAUUUUUGUCUCUUACUUACUAAUCUAGCAUUCAGUUUUUCAAUGCAUUUUAUCUUCACCAUCUUCUCUUGUCUUGUUUACAUUUGUUUUCAUGUUCUGUCGUUUGAUUUGUCUUAGUUUUGGCUUGUGUAAUAAUUUAACCCUGCUCAUUCUUCUUUCAUUCUUUAUUGAUUGAUAUUUUUAUCUCGCAUAGCUCUGUGUUGCCACUAAUUUGCUCGAAUCAUUUUUCUUCAUCUGCUUCAUAUUCUUUUCAUAUUCAUUAACUAUUGUCUCCAAUCUCUUUAAAUCCUACAUGUUCUUUUGUUUAUUAAAUCAAAUAUUAAAUAUUGUUGAAACUGUUUAUUUAUUCUAAUAAAUCCUUACGAUUAUAACUAAGAUGAUAUGGAUAAAAGACUGAUUAUAAUUUAGUUGAAAUUAAAGUCUAAAGUAGAAGUUAUUAAACUUGCAAUCCUUCUUUUUGUCAUCCAAAAUAGCUUUAGUCAAAUCAAUUAUAUUGAUUUAUAAAACCCAUAAGCUAUUUCAAUCCCAAACAAUAAAAAACAGGCGCAUUUGUUAUUGACGCUGCGGCGGGUUUCCUUUACUAUAAAUAUAACUGUUUGUCACAACUGUUAAUAAACCCAAAUGUGUUUACAAAAGCUACACAUAUAAGAGUUUCAUACUCAUUUCUCUUUCUCUAGUCAUCUCUUAUGUUUGUAGCUAUCAUAAUACAAUCAUCAAACAAAUGACGUAUCUCUUGGUUCCAUAAAAAAUAUGCAAAAUGACUGUUUUUUGCAGACUCCAUGAUCACUGAGUAUUAUAAAUAUCAAACUCUGUCUAUGGUCUAUUUAUAUGUUGAGAAAAUGUCUCGAAAUGUAGCCUCCAAAUAAUGAUUUCCAGGUCAACACACUGCAUGUGAACCUCCACAAUGGGAUCAUCGGAUCUGCAGAUACCGCUACAUGUCGAGUCGAACAUAGCUACACAUAUGUUCCCUGCUUGUGCCUUUCUAUUUUGAAAAUAUUUACAGAACCAUGUCAUUCCUUUUUUAAAAAACUUUUAUGCUUUUUUAAUUUUUAAAAUAUAUUAUCCAUAACCUUUAAAUCUAACUACAAUUUAUUUUAAAAUUUCUUUUCUUUUCCCUUUCUUUCGGAUCAAGCUAAUUAAAAACACUCACAUUUUUGUUGGCUCUAUCAACAACACUCACAUUUUUUUUUUUUGCUAAGUAACACUUGCGUUUCAAUAUAAAAAACGUUUAUUGUACAAUCGCUGUCACAUAUUGGAUACUGCAUUUUUCAACAUUUAAACUAUACAUUAUUAUACACAUCAGUGUUUCAACCAUGUUCCAAAACCUGUUCUUCGCGGCUAUAUACACAUCAGUGUUUCAACCAUGUUCCAAAACGGGUUCUUGGCGGCCGAUUAAAUCCCAGCGAAACUCUAUUCGACGGUUGGCCAAGGCGAUUUUAUCAUAUGCAGUCACACUAUCGGUUACGAGAAUUGUUUCUUUUUAAGUUUUGAGAGUAUAAAACGAGAUAAUUGGCCAAGGCGAUUUUAUCAUAUGCAGUCACACUAUCGGUUACGACACUUGUUUCUUUUUAUGUUUUGAGAGUAUAAAACGAGAUAUUAGAUGAUAUAUAUUAUGAGUUAAAACAUAAAAAGAUGUAAUUUCGAUGAAUUACGUGAAAAUAUCUUUAUUACCGCUAUGGAAGUGCAGUAGUGAUCGUAAGAUCUGGAGGAAAUUAUUAGGUAUGACGAAGCGAAUUGACCAUGUUACCCUACAUUAAAAGGAAAAAAAAAAUCUUAAAAUGGAACAAAACCGAGCUCAGUAGCGUUAAAUCUAAUAUGACUACUUCUAUUUUGAAAAUAUUUACUGAACCAUUUCACUCCUUUUUUUUAAACUUUUAUGCUUUUUUUAAUUAUUAAAAUAUAUUAUCGAUAACCUUUAAAUCUAACUGCAAUUUAUUUUAAAUUUUCAUUUCUUUUCCCUUCCUUUCGGAUCAAGCUAAUUAAAAUUACUCACAUUUUUGUUGGCUCUAUGAACAACACUCACGUUUUUUUUUUUUGCUAAGUAACACUUGCGUUUCAAUAUAAAAAACGUUUAUUGUACAAUCGCUGUCACAUAUUGGACAAUGCAUUUUUCAACAUUUAAAAUAUACAUUAUAUACACAUCAGUGUUUCAACCAUGUUCCAAAACGUGUUCUUGGCGGCCGAUUAAAUCCCGGCGAGACUCUAUUCGACGGUUGGCCAAGGCGAUUUUAUCAUAUGCAGUCACACUAUCGGUUACGACACUUGUUUCUUUUUAUGUUUUGAGAGUAUAAAACGAGAUAUUAGAUGAUAUAUAUUAUGAGUUAAAACAUAAAAAGAUAUAAUUUCGAUGAAUUACGUGAAAAUAUCUUUAUUACCGCUAUGGAAGUGCAGUAGAGAUUGUAAGAUCUGGAGAAAAUUAUUAGGUAUGACGAAGCGAAUUGACCAUGUUACCCUACAUUAAAAGGAAAAAAAAAUCUUAAAAUGGAACAAAAACGAGCUCACUAGCGUUAAAUCUAAUAUGACUGCUUCUAUUUUGAAAAUAUUUACUGAACCAUGUCACUCAUUUUUUUUAAAACUUUUAUGCUUUUUUAAUUAUUAAAAUAUAUUAUCGAUAACCUUUAAAUCUAACUGUAAUUUAUUUUAAAUUUUCAUUUCUUUUCUCUUCCUUUUGGAUCAAGCUAAUUAAAAUUACUCACAUUUUUGUUGGCUCUAUCAACAACACUCACGUUUUUUUUUUUUUUUGCUAAGUAACACUUGCGUUUCAAUAUAAAAAACGUUUAUUGUACAAUCGCUGUCAUAUAUUGGAUACUGCAUUUUUCAACAUUUAAAAUAUACAUUAUUAUACACAUCAGUGUUUCAACCAUGUUCCACAACGUGUUCUUGGCGGCCGAUUAAAUCCCGGCGAGACUCUAUUCGACGGUUGGCCAAGGCGAUUUUAUCAUAUGCAGUCACACUAUCGGUUACGACAAUUGUUUUUUUUUUUAUGUUUUGAGAGUAUAAAACGAGAUAUUAAAUGAUAUAUAUUAUGAGUUAAAACAUAAAAAGAUGUAAUUUCGAUGAAUUACGUGAAAAUAUCUUUAUUACCGCUAUGGAAGUGCAGUAGAGAUCGUAAGAUCUGGAGAAAAUUAUUAGGGAUGACAAAGCGAAUUGACCAUGUUACCCUACAUUAAAAGGAAAAAAAAUCUUAAAUUGGAACAAAAACGAGCUCACUAGCGUUAAAUCUAAUAUGACUGCUUCUAUUUUGAAAAUAUUUACUGAACCAUGUCACUCCUUUUUUUUAAUACUUUUAUACUUUUUUUUAAUUAUUAAAAUAUAUUAUCGAUAACCUUUAAAUCUAACUGCAAUUUAUUUUGAAUUUUCAUUUCUUUUCCCUUCCUUUCGGAUCAAGCUAAUUAAAAACACUCACAUUUUUGUUGGCUCUAUCAACAACACUCACGUUUUUUUUUCCCUAAGUAACACUUGCGUUUCAAUAUAAAAAACGUUUAUUGUACAAUCGCUGUCACAUAUUGGAUAAUGCAUUUUUCAACAUUUAAAAUAUACAUUAUUAUACACAUCAGAGUUUCAACCAUGUUCCAAAACGGGUUCUUGGCGGCCGAUUAAAUCCCGGCGAGACUCUAUUCGACGGUUGGCCAAGGCGAUUUUAUCAUAUGCAGUCACACUAUCGGUUACGAGAAUUGUUUCUUUUUAAGUUUUGAGAGUAUAAAACGAGAUAUUUGAUGAUAUAUUUUGAGUUAAAACAUAAAAAAUGUAAUUUUGAUAAAUUACGUGAAAAUAUCUUUAUUACCGCUAUGGAAGUGCAGUAGAUAUUGUAAGAUCUAGAGAAAAUUAUUAGGGAUGACGAAGCGAAUUGACCAUUUUACCCUACAUUAAAAGGAAAAAAAAUCUUAAGAUAGAACAAAAACGAGCUCCGCUCGGGUUGAACUCAGGUAAAGUGGAGUGACACUUCAGUACCACUGGACCAUCAGAAACUUUUGGAAAUAUUCUCUUCAAACGUUAAAUAACCUAAACUAUUAUAAUUUUUUUUAAAAAAUAAUAACUAAUUUCUGAUUAAUCCCUAAAUUUUUCAUUUGUAGAAAUGUUUGUGGAUUCCAGUCGACAAACCUCACAAUGUUUUUUUAAAAAAAAAUCAGUAAGAAGAAUAAGAGAAAAAGCUUUACAGGAAAUUAUAGUAAAAAAUAUAAAUAUUUUUUAUCCGAAGAAAUACAAAUAUUUGAUAUCUUAAUAAAACUAGAUUUCUGUUAAAUAAAUUUAAUUAGAAAUUGUAGAAGAAGCUAUAAUUUUAUGAAUUAUCAAUACAAUUAAAACAUUAACAAUUUUUAUCUACUUACAAACAGUCUAGUUUGAACCAUUACAUUUAACUACAAUUCCUAUUAUCUACAAUUAAAUCUAACUUAAUUAUUAUUAAAUAUACACAUUGUCUAAAAUAUACAAAAGAUCAAAAGAAGUAAUGAGAGAUGCAUUGAAUGAAAAAAUCGUUAGAGAAGUGGAGACGACGCUUGGAUUAAGAGAAGUAAAUUAUCAACUAUUUGGGAAAUUAAUUUAUUGAUUAAUUAAAAUGAUUCAAUUAAAAAUGUUAGAUAACUUAUUUUAGAUUUUAUGCAUAUAAAUAUUCAGAUAUUUUCGGACAAUUUCGGGUGGUUCAAAUGCUUUUUAAUAAAAAAAAUUCAAAAACUUUUGGAUACUUUUAAUAGAGUUUUGAAGUGUACAGAUAUAUAUAUAUAGAUAUAUGUGUAUAUAAAAUUAACAUAAUUUUUUUUUAUGAAUUUGGAUAUUCAUUUGAUUUUCUGUUCGGUUUAGCUUUGUUUAUUUUGGAUAUAGAAAUAUAAUAAACAUUCAGAUAUUUAGGGUUUUGGUUUAGUUCCGGUUUAGAGCAUUUCAGAUUCAUUUGGGUUUGGGUCUUGGAUUCUGUUUUUUUCCUAGACCUAUUACGGACUAUAAUAUCUAUCAUCUGCAUAUGGCAGCCAAACAUAUACUUUGUCUUAGUGUCGGCUCUAGUUACUUUAGUUUAGGCAGGCAAACGGAACAUGAGAACAAGAAUCUCUUAGAAAUCAACGACUAAUGUUUCCAAAUUCUAAUAAGAAUAUCUUUAUGGAAAACAUGAUAAAACAGAAUUUUUUUAACAUGUUUCUGCAAUAGCAAACAACAUGAUAAACUGAUGAUGGUUGUUAUCAUUAUUCAAUGGUAGCCAAUCUAAAUUCAAGAAAAAGAUAAAAAAAACAAGAGUAACAAAAUUAAAAACGCACCAAACAUCAAAAGGACACAAAGCAAGCAAGCAUCCAUUGUAGUUGGAAAAUAUCUCUGUCAGAUCUAUUUAAUCUGACCGCAGUCGAUCACGACGGGCUUGGAAAGCUUGUCCUUAAGAGGUUCGUGUGAUAUGAUCCUGACCACAUCCAAUCCUUCAACAACUUGGCCGAAGACGACGUGUACAUCGUCGAGUUCUCAGUUCUCAGUCAAGGAGAUCAAAAACUGAGAUUGGUUGGUGUCAGGACCACCGUUGUUAAAACUUUUAUGCUUUUUUAAUUAUUAAAAUAUAUCAACGAUAUAUAUUAUAAUACAAAGUUUUAUUAUAUCAAAAAUAUAAUUUUUAACAGUUAUAUAAUCUACGAAUUAGUUUAUUUGAGAUUUUAUAUGUACAAUUUUACGUAAGUUUGUUUUAGGCAUGAUAAUUAUAUCCGGAUAAAAAAGCAAACCGAACCGACCCAAAAAUAUAAGUGUAGUUCAGGUCCAGAGAAGAUAACCUAUUGAGUUUUUUUUGGACCCGCAUGUCUUUGUUUGAGUCCGGAUCCUACUCUAGAUCCGAUCAUAAAUAUGUUGUGUUUAUUAGGUAUAUUUGAAUAUUUCAAAUAUAUUUCCUGUAAUAUGGGCAUUUUUUUAAGUUUUUGGUUUACGAUUAUAGUUUUUGAUUUCAGGUAAAUUAUAGUUUUUAAGUCCUUCACCAGCCGGAAUGUUUAUGUUGAUGGUAAAUCCACCGGCCAUUCUCUGAGUUUGGAUCUAAGAAAUUAUAUAGGUUUCCUGGGGCUGGGAGGAGUUAUCGAGAGAGAGAGACAACAUAUAGUAGUUCCAAUGAAAAUAAACAGUAAAGUGAAGGAAGAUCGUCGGCCGUAUUUGUAGAUUUUUUAAACUGUAUUUUAGGUUAACUGUGGUUAAAUCUAAUCCCACUAGCGUUAAAUAUAAUAUGACUGCUUCUAUUUUGAAAAUAUUUACAGAACCAUGUCACUCCUUUUUUAAAAAACUUUUAUGCUUUUUUAAUUAUUAAAAUAUAUUAUCCAUAACCUUUAAAUCUAACUACAAUUUAUUUUAAAAUUUCUUUUCUUUUCCCUUUCUUUCGGAUCAAGCUAAUUAAAAACACUCACAUUUUUGUUGGCUCUAUCAACAACACUCACGUUUUUUUUUCCCUAAGUAACACUUGCGUUUCAAUAUAAAAAACGUUUAUUGUACAAUCGCUGUCACAUAUUGGAUACUGCAUUUUUCAACAUUUAAACUAUACAUUAUCAUACACAUCAGUGUUUCAACCAUGUUCCAAAACGGGUUCUUGGCGGCCGAUUAAAUCCCAGCGAAACUCUAUUCGACGGUUGGCCAAGGCGAUUUUAUCAUAUGCAGUCACACUAUCGGUUACGAGAAUUGUUUCUUUUUAAGUUUUGAGAGUAUAAAACGAGAUAUUAGAUGAUAUAUAUUAUGAGUUAAAACAUAAAAAAAGAUGUAAUUUCGAUGAAUUACGUGAAAAUAUCUUUAUUACCGCUAUGGAAGUGCAGUAGAGAUCGUAAGAUCUGGAGAAAAUUAUUAGGGAUGACGAAGCGAAUUACCAUGUUACUCUACAUUAAAAGGAAAAAAAAAUCUUAAAAUGGAACAAAAACGAGCUCCACUCGGGUUGAACUCAGGUAAAGUGGAGUGACGCUUCAGUACCACUGGACUAGGGAUAUUGUCAUGGGUAAAAUAACUUUUCUUUUCCCUUCCUUUCGGAUGAAGCUAAUUAAAAACACUCACAUUUUUGUUGGCUCUAUCAACAACACUCACGUUUUUGUUUUUGUUUUUUUCUUUCUUAAGUAACACUUGCGUUUCAAUAUAAAAAACGUUUAUUGUACAAUCGCUGUCACAUAUUGGAUACAACAUGUUUCAACAUUUCAACUAUACACUAGAUUUUGAUCCGCGCUUGUAAAGCGCAGAUUUUUUAGAUUAUAUUAUAAUACAAAGUUUUAUUAUAUCAAAAAUAUAAUUUUUAACAGUUAUAUAAUCUACGAAUUAGUUUAUUUGAAAUUUUAUAUGUACAAUUUUACGUAAGUUUAUUUUAGGCAUGAUAAUUAUAUCCGGAUAAAAAAAACAAACCGAACCGACCCGAAAAUAUAAGUGUAGUUAGGUCCAGAGAAGAUAACCUAUUGAGUUUUUUUUGGACCCGCAUGUCUUUGUUUGAGUCCGGAUCCUACCCUAGAUCUGAUCAUAAAUAUGUUGUGUUUAUUAGGUAUAUUUGGAUAUUUCAAAUAUAUUUCCUGUAAUAUGGACAUUUUUUUUAAGUUUUUGGUUUACGAUUAUAGUUUUUGAUUUCAGGUAAAUUUUCAAAUUAAAAAAUUGCGUAUUUUUCAUUUCAUCAUCUCAGACUUUGAAUAAGAUUUUGAAUUUUUAGGUAUUUGAAUUUUUUUGGGUAUUUGUUUGGAGUUUCGAAUAUUUUUCAAGUUUUUUAGAUAUUUUGAUUUUUUUAAGAUCCUAAAUACCCGAACAUAUGUAGAUCCAUUACGUCCAUAUCAAGUCCAACAACCUUUUGAUAUAAAUUUUUAACGUUAUUGUACAAAAACAUGGUUGAUGAAAGAUUUUUCUGAGUAAAUGUAUCAUAAGGAAUAAUAUUAGGAUAUGUUAAAAAUAUUUAAAAUUUUGUAUGGUUAGAAUGACUAAUGGUAUCACCAAAAAAAAAUAGUUAUACAUAACUCCAACAACUUUUUUAUAUUAGAUUUUUUAAGGCUAUUUCUCCUUUAAUAAUAUUGAUUCGUUUUUAAGUGAAAAGUAUAAAAAAAUAUAAUAUCUAAACCAAUAAUUUUCAAAAUCGUGAAUAAUCAAUACUGAUAUCGUGAAGUCGGGUUAACUUUAAGAGAAUCAAUGAAUUUCUACAUUUUUGUGAAGGUAACAUGAAUAUUCAGAAAACUCAUUUUUAGAUAUGAAAAUAUCUAUCAAACCUUAGACGGUUGAAAGUUUACUAUAUGAUAUGAGAUUUUAGUGGGAAAGUUUAUAUAUUAUAUGAUUACUUUAUUAUAAAAGAAAGAGGAAGUUAGAAUGUACACAUAUAUGUUGUGUAACUUCUCUUGCUUUAAAUCAUAUAUUAUAUGAUAAAAGUGAUAAUAUAAAACAUUAGUUUCAAUGAUUUUACGAUUAAAAAUCAAAAUGGUAAAUAUAGUAAUAGUAGUGAAUAAAUAAAAAAAUUGAAUAAAUUAUUGUUAGAGAAAUAUAUGGUAACAUAUUGUUAGUCUAAAUUUAAGGUAAUACUAAAAAAUAAUGAAAUAAAUGAAAAGGUCCAAACAAUUUUUAAAGUAGAUUUAUUAAAACUUCUUCCUUUUUAAUAGUAUUGAUUAUUAUACACAUCAGUGUUUCAACCAUGUUCCAAAACGUGUUCUUUGUGGCCGAUUAAAUCCCGGCGAGACUCUAUUCGACGGUUGGCCAAAGCGAUCUUGUCAUAUGCAGUCACACUAUUGGUUACGACAAUUGUUUCUUUUUGAGUUUUGAGAGUAUAAAACGAUAUAUUAGAUGAUAUAUUAUGAGUUAAAACAUAAAAAGAUGUAAUUUCGAUGAAUUACGUGAAAAUAUCUUUAUUACCGCUAUGGAAAUUACAGUAGACAUCGUAAAAUUUAGAGAAAAUUAUUAGGGAUGACGAAGCGAAUUGACCAUGUUACCCUACAUGAAAAGAAAUAUUUUUUUUCGAAGAAAUACGAAUAUUUGAUAUCUUAACAAAAACUAGAUUUAUAUUAAAUAAAUUUAAUUAUAGAUUGUAUAAGAAGCUACAAUUUUAUGAAUUAUCAAUACAAUUAAAAUAUAAACAAUUUUUAUCUACUUACAAAUAGUCUAGGUUGAACCAUUCCAUUUAACUACAUUUCCUAUUAUUUACAAUUAAAUCUAACUUAAUUCUUAUUAAAUAUACAUAUUUCCUAAAAUUAAGGAAUUAAUUAAAUAAUCAAUUAUUUUUGAAACUAAUUAAUUCAAUUCAUAUGAAUACUAAAAUAUAAGUAACUAAUAUUUACGGGUUUUUCAUGAUAUACUAGAAUGUUAAAUACUAAAAUUUAAGUAACUAAUCUUUUCAGGUGUAUUAAAUAGUAUAUGCCAAAUUCAGUUAUGUAGUUAUCAGAAAAUGGUGGGUCUAUUAGGACUAAAAUCAAUUUUACUAUUGUGCUUAAUAAUUUGAUAGGAUAAGGUAUAUAUUUAAUAUAUAUCUAAUUUAAGUAGAAACUAGACUUUAACCCGUGCAUCCGCCCGGGUGUUUUUUGGUUUGUAAUGUCAAAUAUUUAUUAUUGUUUAGCAAUUUGUUAUAAAUUUGUAUAUGUGUGAAUAAUUUGUGAUCUUGAUAAUAGUGUAUUCUAUGUUGAUUAAAAAUUGAAGUGGUAAUUUACAUUAGUUAUUGGAUGUUUGUUUACAUCAUUAGGUUUGUAUAUAUAAGUAUAAAACCAAUUAGAAUAAAUAUUAUUAUGUUUUUAUUCAUUAAACUGUAUUGGAAAAUUAAUUGUAAAGUGUGAUUAGCAAGUUUAUACUCCAUCCAUUUCAUAAAGUUACAUAUUCUAUAGAAAGAAAACUGUUUCAAAAAGAUCAAUUUUUUACAUUUUUAAUCCAUGUUUUAUUAACUAACUAGAUUUGGACCCGUGCGUUACAACGGGCUUUGUUUGAUAUUUUAAUUUAAUAAAGAAUAUUUCAAAAAAUCAUUUUGUUAUAGUUUUAAGAUUGUUUUUCCAUAUGCUAUGUAAGAUUUAUUUUAUAAUUAAGAUUCGUUUUGACACAUAAGUUUCAGUUAAUAUUUGUUUUUUAUAAUCAUUGUGCAUAGACGAACUAUUAUCAUCUUUGUACUUAGAGUUAGAAAAAACAUUCAUACCUAAAACAAAAUUGGAAGUUACAUCAGCCAAGAAGCAAUGACAACAUUAUACACUUUCUUAUGUACUAAUUUAAUGUUUUAUUAAACUUAUCCAAUGUUAAAUAAUUUUUUUGAUUCAUUAUUUAUUAAUGAUAUAUUUUCAUAAUAACAUUUAACAAAAUAAUUAGAAAAUACUACAUAAUAAAACUAAAAAAUGUAAUAAGAUAACAAUGAAGCUUGAUUUGUUUUUGACUAAACAUAUGUACGGUUGACAAUAAUAAUAAUCAAUUUUUAUGAGCAAACAUGAAUAUAUAUAUAUAUAUAUAUAUAUCAAACAUAUGUUUGAUUUUUAGUAUAACCAAACACAUAAAUACCAAUCAUGACAACAUCCUAAUUUUUUUUGUUAAUUUAAUAGCUUUAGCAUCAUACUUGUCAUCAAUUUUUUUCCGAAAACUAUUAUGAAAUAGGUAAUUUUAUUUUUGUUAGGUUUUUUUUUUAAAAAAGGAAAAAUCAUAUUUUAAAAUCUCCUUUAUAUUUACGAUUAAAAAAGAAAAAAUAUUAUUAAAUACUUUUUUAGAAUUUUGUUUAUAAUUUUAAAAAAGGAAAAGUAUUAUCAUAUAGUAAAAUUUUAAAAUUAUCUUAUAUUUAGAAUUUCAGAAAAAUUGCUAUCAAAUAAUUAUUUCUAGUUACUAUAAAAGAAUUUUAAAAUUAUGAUUUUUACAAUUCAUCAAUUCUAUGUUUCACUUGGUUUUUAAUUAAAUAAGUUUUAGUAUCAUGUUUAUCAUCAAAUGUUCUCUUAAAAUAUUUUAAUAAAAAAAUUAUGUUUGGUUAAUUAUAUAUUGUGUCUUAUAUGAACAAACAUAUAUUCAUUUAUUCACACAUACUUACGUAAGAAAAAAACAUCAUAAUUAAAAAAAACUUAUGUUAGCAUCAUAAGAUGUAAUUAGGAUAAUAAAAAUUUUAAUUGUUUCAAAAAAUUAAAAGAAAAUACUCAGAUAAUAUUUUUCUUGUAAAUACAAUUGUUUUUUUGAAAAUUAUAUGAGGAAUCUUAAACCAAAAUAUAGAUGUGAAAAUAAUAGUUAUUUUUGUUUAUAUUUUCUUAGCAUACAAUUAUCCGUUAAAAGGAAAGCUUUUAAAAAGGAAUAUCACUUAUUUAAUAGUUAGUUUUUUCUAUUUGAUUUUUAUUAAAUAAUUCUUUGUACUUGUAGGAUUUUAUAAUUCGUUUUUAUUUAAGAUUGUAUUUUAAAAAAAAACAAAAUCACUUAUAAUUCUUUAAAAAAAACGAAAAACUAUACAAAAUAUUUUUUAAAAAAUUACUUUCAAAUUGCUUUUUACAAUUAUUCUUUUUUUAUAAAAUUUAAAAAAAUUAAAAUUGCUAUCAAAUUUUAAAAGAAUAUAAAAGAACCAUAAUUGUAAAAGACUAUGUAAUAGUAAUUUUCCUUUUCUAAGCUCCUAAAUAGAACAAUAAAAUAUAUUUUGUAAUAGUUUUCCUUAUCUAGUGUUAAAAAAAAAAGUAAUAAUAAUUUUCUUUUUAAUUAAAAUGUAAUAAUAAUUUUCUUUUUUCUAUUUUUUUUUUUAAUCUAAAACAAAAGAGAAUUGUAACAUAUUUUUGACACAUGUCACAAUCUUAAAAAAUUAAUCAACACAUGUCGCGAUAAUGUUAAUUAGCAACUUUGAAAAAACAAGAUUUAUAUAAUAAGAUAGUAAAUUUUUUAAACAAAUAAUUGUACUUAUUAGAUUUUUAUUGACUUAAAAUUAAGAAAAAAAUGUUUUAUUAAAAUGUGUGAAAAUCUAAAAUAUGUAACAUUUUGAAACGGAUGUCGUAUAUUAUUGUUAUUAAUAUGUAGCUUUAAUUUAGGGAUUUGUUCUGUUAAGAUAGUCAAUGAGUUUAGGACUCUCAAACGUUUUACUUUUAGCAUAUCGAUAGAAAAUCUGAUAUUCUUGUUUUAAUGCUUUGUCAAACUAAAUCGUUAGGAAAUCUAUAGUCAUUUAUUUUUCUGUUUGUAAAAGAUAAAUUUCAAAACAUAUUUAUUUACAAUUAUUAUAUACUAAACCAAAUGAAUUUAAAUUUUAUCUUAUUCAUGUUACACAUAUAUUCCGGUUUAAUGAUGUUCUAGUACAUUAAAAUUACUACAGUUAUGCUAUAGUUCUAGUUUUUAUUGUUAAUUCAGUUAGAUGUUGGAACUUGAUUAAAAAAUAUUGGUUUAUUAAUAUAUAAAUCAAUUUAUGCAUAUAUUGAGAUCAGUAUGAUACUUGCACUGCUCGACAUUCCGGUUUACUUAUGUUUUCGUUAAUUAAAUUUCGAGGUUAUGCAAUAGUGCUGGUUUUUAAUGUUAAUUCAAUUUAGAUGUUGGCACUUGAUUAAACAAUAUUGGUUUACUAAUAUAUAUAACCCAGUUUAUGCAUAACUGAGAUUGUAGUGCCACGAAAGAUCAAACCCAUUUAUGGUUUGAUAAAUAGAAAUACAAAUGAAAUUAUUGUGUAAUCAAAUCUUAAUGGCCUUGUUAUUCGGUUUUGUAAAAUGGCAUGAAAGCCUAACAAUAUAAUUAGUUAAGUUGUAGAGAUAAUAUCAGUGGUAAAUGUUGUAAAUACUAAGAUGAAGUAAGGACAAUUUUUUAUUUGUACUUUAGUUUUAAUAGAUUAGAUAAUUGAAAUUCAAAUAAAUGUAAUGGUCUAAUUAUAAAUUUUUAUAAGUAGAUUUUUAAUGCUUUUGCUUUAAUACAACCCACCUUUUGUAAGAAUGGGUCAAUAAUUUAAUUAGUUUUAAAAUAUAAUUAUAUAUAUAUAUAUAUAUCCAAUUGUAACAAAAUAUAAACUAAAUAUAAUAUAAACAUAAAACAUGACUAAAAUCAAUAAAUUUAAAUGUCUAAAAUGAUGAGAUUAACUUUUAAAUUUAAAAUAAACAAAAAAAUCAAAUCUUUUUAAUAACAUGUGAACAACAAAAGUAUAUAUAUAAACUAGUAUAUCUUUUUGUAAAUAGAAAUUACUAAAUUAUAAUAGACGUAUACGAGUCAUUGAUGUUCAAAUCUAUUUAUCUUUUAGUACGCAUCCUCUCAAAUAUUGAUCCAUACAAGGUAAAAAGUUAGUUUGACAAAAUAUCUGUAUAGCUAACUUUUGUAAAAUUGGAACAUCAUAUUCAUAAUAUAUCCACAUUUAUCUAAACAUUAAUGAAUAUAUUAGGAUACUUUAAAUAUAGCAACUUAAGUCAAAUUGGAUUACAUAUAGGAUCACAUGUCGGUUUAACCGGUAGCUGGUUCCAACGUUUAAUCGGUUUUUGCGGGUUUUGUAAGAUUUUUAAAUAACGAGUUUUUCUUGACCUAACCAGAUUACAUAUCGGAUCACCAAGUUUGCCAGGUUAACCAGUGGUCCGGAUCCGGGUUAGAUGUCAAAACACUAAAUAUAACGCUUCAUUUGUAAUAUUUAAACUAGAUUUCCACCCGCACAACCGUGCGGGUAUAUAUUUUCAUAUUUAUAUAUAUAGAUAUUUGUUUUACAUAAUUAUUAUAUAUUUUUAAUGUUACUCAUAUAUUUAAAUGUUUGUAUAAUUAUGCCAAAUAUAAUAAUUUUAUAGUUUUCAUGUUAUAAAUUAAAAUCAUCACAUAUAUAUGUUGCUUAUUAUAUAUUGUCUUAUUGAAUUUGCGUUUAAUUACUAAACUAAAAUUUUUAAUGCAUGAAACAACAUAUAUGAAAACAAUUUUGUAUUUAAUUUAUUAUAAUCAUGAUCCGUAAUUCAAAUCACUAGAUUUUUUUAGUAAAUUUUUAAUGUUUAUUAAUUUUAUAUAAUAAAUUACUGUAUAUUAAAGUUUAAGAUAAGUUAAUUUUUUAUACAUGUAUUAUAUAGUUUACAAAUAUUAACCCGUUCUACCAACAUAUUAUAUUUUUAGCAUAAAUAUUUUAUAUUUAUGAAAAUAAAAUAUGUUAACUUAUCAAUUUAAAAUAAAUUUAUCAUAUUUUUUUCAAUAUAACAUUUUUAUUUUAAAAUGAUAGAUAUUAUUAUAAAAUUGAUAAAAUAGGAUAUAAUUUUAUUCUUUUAGUAACAUUUCAUUACUAAUUACAAAAUUAGUUGAAAAUAUUUAUAUUCAAUUUAUGACAAUUAAGAUCUUAUUAUAAUCUUUUUCAAGAGAUUUGUUAGAAUUUUUUUUUUAAAAUUAAAAGAUAAUAUGAUUAAAGUAGUUAAAAAUAUUAUGUAUAUUAGAAUUAGUGAUAUACAUUUAAUAUAAAAUUUAAAUGAUGGUCCAAAUAAAAAUAUCACUCAUCAAAAAUAAUGAUUUUUAUUUUAUUAGAAAACAAAUUUGAAAAAAAUAAAAUAAAAAUAAAUAUUUAUUUCUAACAAAAUAUUUAAAAAUUAUUAGUAAAUGUAUUUGUGAAAUUAAUUAAUUUCAUUUUAUUUAAAUUUUCGUUUAUAAACCAAAACUAUAUUCAAUUUUAAUUUCUAAUUAUAUUUUAUGAUAAUUUAAAUUAAAACUAACUAAUUUUUGAAAGUAAAUUUAAAAAGAUUCUAAGAAGAUUUUAAAAAGAUUUUGUUAGAACAUUUUAAAUAUAUUCAUUUGUAUUUCAAAUAAAAAGAUAAAAAUAUUAAAAGAUAUAAUAAUGAACUUAUGUAAAAUAUGAUAUUUUCUAGGAAUGGUCCAAACUAAAAAAAAUCACUCAUGAAAAGAAGUCAUGACUUCUGUUUUAAUAUAUAAGAUGUAGAUACACAAUUCCUCUUAGUCGAGAGACUGGCGUUCCUCGAGAACAGAACCAGACAGACUAGCAACGCAUUCACAGACCCUCCUCCGCUCAGCCCCUCCUAUGGGUCCGCUGAUUGCUGCCUGGGAUUCCUCCUUCCCCGCCUUACUACUGACUUAAAAAUAUAUAUUGAUAUUAAAGCCCAUAAAAGAAAAGUGCAAGAGAAUACAGUGAGGUCCACAUUAACCCAAAUGUUUACAAAAGAUCAAUACAAUAUAAUAUGCUUGACAUUUCACUACAAGAAAACAUAUUUUUUACGAGGGCAGUAUUCGAGGCUAAUUCGUCGUAAACGGGGUGUUACGACGAAUUAACCUCGAAAAACGUUUUGUUGUUAAACGUCCGUCGUGACGGAGGUUUCACGACGGACGUUUCGUCGUAAAGGUAUUGUUACGUUUACGAUGAAAUAAAUUCCUCGUAAAGCAAAAGGAAAGGUUUCAUCGUAAACGACAUGUAACGCUUCAUGGUAAAGCCCACGUAAUGCUUUUGAUGUAGCACACGUAAACGAAUUCGUUGUAAAGCCCACGUAAACGUUUCGAUGUAAAACCCUCGUAAAAGUUUCGAUGUUAAUCACUCGUAAACUUUCGAUGUAAACUCCAUGUAAUGUUUACAAGGAGUUUACAAUGAUUCUUAUUAUAUUAUAUAUAAUAAAUUUAUAUUUAUAUUAAAUAUUCGAAAUUUAGAAUAUUUUAAAUUUUAAAACGAAAUAUGAAAAUGAAAAACAUAUUUUAAAAAAGUAUUUAAAAGUCAUACAAUAAUAUUUAAAUUCAUAAUACAAACCGAAAUAUAAAAAAAACUACAUAUUUUCGAAGUAGUCGGUGGGGUUGCUCGCUGUUGACGGUUUGGAUCAGACUCUUCGGGAUCCCGUACUGGCAACCCAAGAGCGGCUCGUCUCUCACUCAACAUUCUCUGCAUAGUCGGGUUUCCCACCGCCAUCACAUCUAGCAGAUCCUCAAAAGAUUCUAAACGAACCUGCUGGAUAUCCAUUCGAGCUUUCAUCUGAGAAUUCUCUUCAUCCCGUCUCGAAGUGUAUGACGAAGUUGCCCUUGCAACUUCGUUAACAGAGCCAAUGCCGACUGUCCGUCCCUUCUUUUUAGAAGCCACCUAUUAAAUUAAAACAUAUAUUAAUAUAGUUAAUUAUGUUAAAAUAUUAAAAUUAAUGUAAACAAAAAUUUUAAGUUGUACCUCUUCGAAGAUUUUGUCGACCUCUUCGGUGGUCAAUGUGACGGAUAAUCCAUCGGGAGACUGCUGGGUUAGUUGCAUCUUCUGUUCUUCAAUCUGAGCAGCCACUGCAUGGAAGGGUUUCUCAGAUGCAGAAUCCAAAAAAACUCCAUUGGAUGUGGCGAGUCAUCUUGAAUAGCUCAGACAGAGAUGGUAAGACUCCCGUCUUCUCUAACUACACAAAAAAAAUAUAUUAAAAUCUAAAUUAAUUAAAAAUUUUAAAAUAAAUAUUAAAAACAAAACUUACAGCUUCUACACGGAUUCCUGCAUGAGGUUUUUGUACGGUUCUGUGAACCAUGGGCAAAUGACCAUUUUUAUCCUUCGUUCUUCGAGAAGCAGAGCACGAAUUGGCCUUAUCGAAGAGGGUAGCUUCCAAUAGGCGAUGUGGCCAUCCCACACAUCCGUCGUGAGUUCAGUGGGCUUUUCCUCAUACCUGUAGAUCUCCCACUUGUCCUUCCAAUCGGAGAGAGUGUUGCAAAGGCGGGUCUUUGCCUUUGCAAUGAAUUCCCUCUUCACCCUCUCGGUGAUUCCCAAAGACCAACGCCACUUUUGCUGAAACAUAAAAAAUUUGAAGAAAUUACAAUUAAUAAUAAAUAUUUAAAAAUAAAAAGUAAUAUUUAAAAGUGAAAAUUUAAUUAAAUUUAAAAAUCUUACCGCAAAACAUUUAAAACAAGUGGUCUUAACGUGAUCUGGUGUCAUGCUCCAGUUCAGAUAUGCGCCAUCGUAGUAACCCUUCAUCGUCUCUGAAACGCUCCGGCUAACACGGUUGUUAGCCCCAAACCUGAAACAAAAAACAAUUUAAUUGUUAGAAAAUAAAAAUAAUUUAAAUUUUAAUGUAAUAAAAAUUAAUAACUUACCAAAAAUUUUCUGGCGGUCUAUCAGGGUCUAGAACUUCCAAACCCUCCUGUCCAGGAUGGACAAGCAAAUCCUCCUCCGUAUAUCUCGCGUUUGGUGCAUAUGAAGGCAUACGCAAGUCUGGAUGAACUGCACUUGCUGGGGCAGGCUGAGGUGCAGCCGCUGGAGGAGGAGGUGGAGGCUUCUGCGGUGGAGGAGGAGGACUCCAAGAAACUCUCUGAGAAGUCUGAGAGUCUAGAACUGCAUCGGAAGAUGAUGGACCGGAAGAAGAUGCUCCGGAACUAUCGCCAAGCAACUGAGAAUAAGUAGGUGCUGCUGGUUUCCUCCUAGGAGCCAUCUAAAAAAAAAUUAAAAUAAAUUUAAUCAAUUACGAUAUAAUUAAAAUAUUAUUCUGUCACCUAACUAAUCACCUAAACUAUUAUUCCGUCACCUAACUAAUCACCUAAACUAAUUACAUAACUAACCACCUAAACUAACUAACUAAAAAAAAAGAGAGAGAGGGGUUUACCUUAGAGGGAAAGAGCAAAGGAGUUUGGGGCCUCGAUCUGCGGCGUCUCAAUAUAUAGAGAAAGGCAUUCGUCGUAAACUCCACGUAAUGUUACGACGAAGUUAUCAGACCCGUGUUUUUUCAUUUACGAUGAAGUUACCAGGCGUGUCUUUUUUCAUUUAUGACAAAAUUACGAGGAAUCGAUUUAGGACGAAGUUACCAGGCUUGUCUUGUUUCAUUUACGACGAAGUUACCAGUCCCGUGUUAUUUUUACAAGGACUUUACUACGCUUAACCCUAAACCCCGAGAAUGAAUUCCCUAAACCCCAAAGUCACAUAUCAUCUUACAUCAUCAUCUUCUUCUUUACUUUUUCAUACUCUUUCUCCAACUUAAACCCUAAAACUCCAAAUAAUUUUUUAAAAUCUAAAGAAAUACAUAUUAUGUAAAACAACAUUUGUUGCACAUACAUUAAAAUGAUAUAAAAACAAUAUUUCCUUCAACAAACAUUACAAUAGAGAAAUACAACAUUUGUUACAUAUAUUACAUCACUCUAAAUCGUUUUCGUUCUCAUCAAUAUUACAUCACUCUAAAUCGUUUUCGUUCUCAUCAAUAUCAGUACAAUCAUCAUCGUCGCUUCCCUCAAACUCGUCUGCACGUGCUUCAUCUGUCGCAUCUUCGGGAAGAUCAUCAUAUUGAAAGUUUUCCAGGUCGAUCAAUAGGAUUUCAUCAGUUUGUUGUUCAGGUACCUAAACUUCAGUGAUAGCGUCUUCUUCUUGAAAAGGCGGUUAUUCUCCAGCGACAAUGCGUCCAUGAGGUGUAAUUUUGAUAGCAGUUAACCAGUUUAUCCCGGAAGUUCGAAAGCGAGGAUAAGGAAGGAAGCUAACUUGGUCGCCUUGUGAAGCUAAAAUGAAAGGAUCAAAUUUGUUGUAUCUUCUCCCAAAAUUGACAUCCACAACACCAAAUUUGUUUUACCGAAUCCCUCGGUUCACAACAGGAUCGAACCAUUCACAUUUGAAGAGGACGCAUUUUAGCUUAAAUAACCCCAGAAAUUCCACUUCAAUAAUCUCAUGUAAGAUCCCGUAUACGAGUCAUUGAUGCUCAAAUCUAUUUAUCUUUUUAGUAUGCAUCCUCUCAAAUAUUGAUCCAUACAAGAUAAAAAAUCAGUUUGACAAAAUAUCUGUAUAGCUAACUUUUGAAAAAUUGGAACAUCAUAUUCAUAAUAUAUCCACAUCUAUCUAAACAUUAAUGAAUAUAUUAGGAUAAUUUAAAUAUAGCAAUUUAAGUGAAAUUGGAUUACAUAUUGGACCACAUUUCGGUUUAACCGGUAGCUGGUUCCAGCGUUUAAGCGGUUUUUGCGGGUUUUGUUAGAUUUUUAAAUAACUAGUUUUUCUUGACCUAACCAGAUUACAUAUUGGAUCACCGGGUUUGCCGGUUUAACCAUUGGUCCGGCUCCAGGUUAGAUUUCAAAACACUAAAUAUAACGCAUCAUUUGUAACAUUUAAAUGUAGAUACACAAUCCCUCUCAGUUGAGAGACAGGCGUUCCUCGAGAACAUGACCAGACAGACUAGCAACACAUUCACAGACCCUCCUCUGCUCCGCCCCUCCUAUGGGUCUGUGGAUUGCUGCCUGGGGUUCCUCCUUCCCCGCCUUACUACUGACUUAAAAAUAUAUAUUGAUAUUAAAUCCCAUAAAAGCAAAGUGCAAGAGAAUACAGUGAGGUCCACAUUAACCCAGAUGUUCAUAAAAGAUUAAUACAACAUAAUAUGUUUGACACUUGUAUUAUCCUUUGUUCAAAAACGCGGUCUGUGUGCCCGAUUAAGCAGCCACCAAAGUGAAUCUCACUGUUCCUUCUUAAGAUCUAUUUUAUAUAUUCUUUAAACUAUAUAAAAGUCCUAAAUUUACGUCCGAUUAAUCCUUUUAUAAUCUCCUAUUAAUUGAUUUGGCGCUAGGCCCUACCGACCGCACGAGUUACGUCUAGCAUAAUUACAAAUAAGGUUGUAUGUAAUAUGGGAACGUAUGGAGCACGUGGCAGAACAGAUCUCUGCUUCACAAUUUUUUUGUCUCCGUCUGCAGUCGACGAUGUUCAACCACUGUCUUCAUCAUCUUGCAGUUGCUAUAUAUUUAAGUGAAUAUGUGUAAUGUUUCAUAUGAUCCAUUGUAAUUGUUUGUAUGAAAAAUUGCAACUAUAUCAAUAUUGCAUUGCUACUAUUGAUGAUUGUAAUAUUUGGUGAUUAACUAUAUUGAUAAUUGUUUUGAUGAUUAACUAUUGUAACGCUUUACUAACCAUUGCAACUCUUGAUUAACCUUUACAAUUCUUGGUCUAUCCAUUGCAAAUAUUAUUUGAACCACUUCAUUCUCUAUAUAAGGAUAGAAAAACAAGAAACUAGUUGUUAGUAAGAGAGAGAGAUACAAAAAGUCAUAGUCAAAGAUCUUUGAAGAAACACAUAUAAACACUAAAGUUUUUAUGUUUCUCUUGUACAUUAGCAUAAAACAAGAGUGAGACUUUGAUUGUCUUAUCAUACAAAGGGAUUUCGUAUUUACACAAUACUUGGAAUAUGGUCGAAAUACUCUUUAAGGAAAGUGACCUCGUGCGUGAUUCAUUCAUUAUCCAAAUAAUAAUUCACAACUUUUCGGGUUUCAACCCAAUUAAAUUUUGGUGAGAAGCUGUGCUAACAGCUUGCUAUUUAUUAAAUAGAGUUCCUAAGAGAAAAAAAAAUAGAGGUCCUAAUAAAAGGAACAAACUUACCCCUUAUGAAUUUUAGUAUAAGAACAAAAAACAAAGUUGAACUAUCUUCGAGUUUGGGGAUGUACAGCUGUCAUAAGGCUACUCUAACCCAAGAUUAGAACCUUGCGAGAAAGAAGGAUUGAUUUCUUUUUUUUAUUAUUAUAUAUGCAGAUAAUUCCAAGGCUUAUAGGUUUUAUGUAAUAUAACAUAAUAAUUCAAUAUCUGUACAUACUGUAAUUGAAUAAAGAGAUGUAAUAUUUGAUGAAAACUGUUUUUUUUUAUCUAUACAUAUACCAAAGGAUUUGGUUCCAAAUUCAAGUGAAGCUAAUAAAGGAGACGAAACAUUUGUUCCUCCUAAAAUUCACAUGUGCUUCGUAGGAGCAAGCAAGGAAGGAUAGAAAAAAUCAUUUGGUCUUGAUUUUCAAAUAUAUUUAGUUGAGGGAUCAAGAAAUGAGAUUGUUUCUGACACUCAUAUUGUUAUCAUAUUGAUAAUGAUCCCAUAAUUUAUAAUGUGGUUAUGAACUCUCAAGAUAUUGCUUUUCGGAAAGAAGCAAUAAAUGAUGACUGCCAAAAUAGAGAGAAGAGUUUCGUUUAUUGAAUGGCUAAACCUAAGAGAUAAGACUAAGGAAACAAGAUAACUUUCAUAACAAGAUAUGGAAUAUUUCCAAUAUAGUUGACUAUAUCGUAAUACUCCCCCUCAAGUUGGAGCGUGGAGGUCACAAACGACUAACUUGCCUAGUAGAUAUGUAAACUGUUGUCUUCCAAGUGCUUUGGUGAGUAGAUCGGCACGCUGCUCAGUUGUCCUGACAUGUGAUGUAGCAACGGUUCCGCUUUUUAUCUCAUCGCGAAUAAAAUGACAAUCCUUUUCGAUAUGCUUGGUACGUUCGUGAAACACAAGAUUUGCUGCUAUGUGUAGAGCUGAUUUGCUAUCACAAAUAAGUUUCAUAGGAUCGUGAUGACUGAUGCCAAUCGAUUCAAGUAGCUCUUUUAUCCAGAGAAGUUCUUGAACUGCAGCUGUCAUGGAUCUAUAUUCAGCUUCUGCAGAGGAAAGAGAGAUGCGAUCUUGUUUCUUUGUUUUCCACGACACUACAGAGUCCCCUAGAAGGACGACAUAGCUGCUGAGAGAGCGUCGAGUUCUUGGACAAGCACCCCAAUCAGAAUCACAAUAAGCUGUUACGCGGAGGUCAGAGGUUGACGAGCGUAAAAUGCCUUGUCAUAUGAAAUAAUACUUGGAUCUUGUCAGAUCUCCCACUCAGUUGCAAGCUUUAGGCUGCAAAUGAAUAUUCAAAAGAAAGAUGAAAGUUGAUGGAACCAUAGACAAGUUUAAAUCUUGAUUGGUUAUUCAAAGCUAUAAACAAAGUGAAGGUAUUACUUAUUUUGAUACAUAUGCUCCAGGUGCUAGGAUCAAUUCUAUAAGAUUAUUUAUAGCUUUGGCAGCAAUUAUUAACCUUGUGAUUCACCUAAUGGAUGUUAAGACAGCAUUCUUAAAUGGUAUUCUGGAAGAAGAGGUGGAUAUGAAGCAACCUGGAGAUUUUAUUAUGUCUGGAAAUGAGCAUACGGUGUGUAAGUUGAUCAAGUCAUUGUAUGGGCUAAAGCCAGCACCUAAGCAGUGGCAUCAAAAGUUUUAUGAGGUUGCUUAUCUAGUGGUUUCAAUUCAAACCAAUCGGAUAAGUGUUUAUAUAGAAAAUUUGAUGAAAUCAGUAACAGAGUAAGCACUUGCUUAUAUGACUUGCUUAUAUGUUACAUGUUGAUCUUUGGUACUUGUAUUAGACAAGUAGAGCAUACAAAAGAUUUUUUGUAAUCAAUUUUUUCAAUGAAAGACAUAGGGGAGCCAGAUGUGAUUCUUGGAAUUAGAAUCAAACAUGGAAAGAAAGAACUAUCUCUAACACAAUCUCAUUACAUUGAGAAUUUUUUAAAAAAAUUCAAUUUUGAGAAUUGUUCUCCAAUGAGCACUCCCAUAGAUGCGAGUGUGAAGGGUAUGCCUAAUACAUGACAAGCAGUAUCACAACUCUAGUAUUCACAAGUGAUUGACUGUUUAAUGUAUGUCAUGGCGAGCACUAGACCAUAUGUAGCUUAUAAUGUAGGGAGGUUGGUAGAUUCACUAGUAAUCGUAGUACUCAACAUUAGCAAGCUUUAAAAAAAGGUGCUCAAGUAUUUGAAAGGAACAAUUAAUUAUGGUUUGUCAUAUGUCGGAUUUCCUUCGGCGCUAGAAGGAUAUUCAGACUCAAGUUGGAUUACCAACACCGAAGAUCAUUCUUCUACAAGCGGUCAGGUGUUUUUUUUUUCUUGGGGGAUGUGCCAUUUCAUGGGAUUCUAAGAAGCAAACUUGCAUUACAAGUUCGACUAUUGACUUAGAAAUCGUAGCAUUAGUACCUGUUGGCAGAGAGGCAGAAUGGCUAAGAAACUUUGUGUACGGGAUUCCACUAUGCCUGAAACCAGUAUCACCAAUUUCUAUCCAUUGUGAUAUUCAAGCUACCUUGGCUAAGGCCUCUAGCCAAGUGUAUAAUGGUAAGUCUAGACACAUGGACAUUAGACAUAGAAAAUUACAUGAGCUGAUCACUCACGAGGUGAUUACAGUAGAGUUUGUUCGGUCUCAACAAAAUAUAGCUGAUCGUUUGACGAAAGGAUUAGCUAUGAACUUAGUAAUUAUUUCGGUUAAGGGGAUGGGUUUGAAGUCAAUUUGAAAAUGUUGAUUUGGGGAUAUCCAACUUCCCUCUAUACGAAGUUAGAAGCUGAAUUCAAUGUGGAAAGCCUACACUUAAAGAUUGAAGCAUUGUUUUAAUCAUCCCAAGGAAUGUGUUUGGACCUGCAAGAAAGGGAUAUGUUGAAAUUUUGUUCUUAAUAAAUACUUUGAAAAAGUGCAUUUGCAGAUGAAUAACUAAAAGUAUUUACUUAUAUGAGUGUGAAGUGAUGCCGCUUCAGUAAGCUAGGAUUUGGCUUUGUAUGCGCUCAUUAUGGAUAGGGACACAUGUCUUAUAAUAGCGUUAAGUGUAACACUUAGAGUAGUAUGGAAACACGUGUGUGUUAUCUUCAUGUGCCCAAAAUUGGUUAAGGGAUUCAAUAUAUAGGACAUCGUGAUUUUUGGGCAUUUGAAAUGUGUAAUACACUAAGUUGAAAAUUCAAUUUUUGAACAUUUUCAUUUAUGCAUUAGUUUAAUAUAUAUAUUAUUCAUUUAAUGAAUUUAUUAUGGCACUUAAAUGUGGGAGGAUUGUUAUAUAUUUAAAUGAAUAUGUGUAAUGUUUCAUGUGAACCAUUAAUAAUUGCAACUAUAUUAAUAUAACAUUGCCACCAUUGAUGAUUGCUUGGUGAAUAACCAUAUUGACAAUUGUAACAUUUGGUGAUUAACUAUUGUAACUCUUUACUAACCAUUGUAACUUUUCAUUAACCUUUGCGAUUUUUGGAUUAAUCAUUGCAACCGUUGGUUGCAAUUGUUCACUCUCUAUGCGAGGAGGCUUAGUAAUUUGCAAAUGAAAUAGAAAAACAAGAAACUAGUUGUUAAUCAGAGAGAUAGAAAGUUUCAUUGUUCAAAGAUCAUCAAAGAUCUUUGAAGAAACACAUAUAAACAAUAAAACUCUUUCUGUCUUAUCGUAUAAAGAGAUUUUGUGUUUACAUUAUAGAACAAGAGAUUUUGUGUUUAUAUCAUAGCCUUGAACAAGAGUGAGAUUUUGUGUUUAUAUUAUAUCAUAUAAAGAGUGAGACCUUAGGCAGAGUUUAGUAGGCUUAAGGAGCCGAGGCUGGGUGGUAAUAUUUUCUUCACACUGAUCUCCGUUAGAUUAUAGAAACGGGAUAACGUAACAGAUUCUUAGAGUAGUUUGAGCUUGAGAAACUCCAUAUUCAACAUAAGUUCCCUCUCAUGAAGAUCCUCCACUUGAUGACAGAGCUCCAAGAUUAGAUAGGAAAGAGAAGAAGCAUUAAGAAAAUAAGAUAAUUAAAAGUAUAUUGGUUUGUUUUCUGUUAAAAGAAGACGAGAAUGUUAGCAAAAGAACAUAAAAGAAGAGGUUUGGUAGAUGUUUUGUCACAGAAAAUGUAUCUUUUCUGGCCUGUGGGAAAGCAGCAGAAGCGGCGGAUCAGGGCUGGCCUGUGGGAAAGCAGCAGAAGCGGCGGGGGAGAACGCAAAAAAAAAAAAAAAAAAAAAAUUUUUAANNNNNNNNNNNNNNNNNNNNNNNNNNNNNNNNNNNNNNNNNNNNNNNNNNUAAAAAAAAAAAAAAAAAAAAAAAAAAAAAAUUAUCUAAUUUUUAAAGCUUAAUUUUUUUCAUUAUUUAAUUGUUUCUCAGAAUAAUCUAAUCGACUGUUCAAUAGUAUCUAAUUAUAUUCUCUAAUUUAGUGAUGUUUUCCAGUUUUUCUAGAUUUAAUUUAUUCUAGGCAUAAAGAUUUAUAUACCGACAAUAGUAAUAAUUGAAAUCAUUGCUUUGCUUGUUUUAGUUAUCAAAAGUAUCUUUUUCAUAAUUAUGGAAAAGAAUCAUGUGUCUACAUUUACUAAUUAAGAGAGAGAGAGUAAAAAUAAAUCAUGUUGACUAAGAAUAAACUUAUAUUUUAAUUUCAAAUAGUUGUCCCAAUGGUGUCUGUAGUAGCGAGGGGGGUUAAGGUAGUGGUGGUGGUCUGAACCUCUUGAAAUCCCCAUUGCGUAAAGGAAAAGACCUGUAGCGGGAGGUUCGGGUACAAAAACUUGGUGCACUUCGAAGGUGUUGUCAACCCUUAGCAUAUGGAGUAUCUGAGUUGUAGAGAGGGUGUUGUUAACUGAAUGUUGCACGAUAUCCGCUGCAAAUAUAACAGUAUGAGACUCGGGAUGUGAUACCAAACAACAAUUUAGUGAAUAAACAUGGUUGAUUUAGAAAUUGAAAGAAAAAAAAGACACCUGUGAUAGCGGCUAUGUUUUCGUUUGCAACGGCAGCUCCCAUAGCACCACCGGCAGCUCCCACAGCACCACCGGCAGCUCCCACAGCACCACCGGCCACCGGAUUGACAAUAAUGGUAAAACCAUUACCCGGGGGAAUCGUUACUCUGGCUCCUCCACCGACCAACAAAACCACAUGUCCCAGGAAGAACAUUAACUUCCAUGAUUUUGGAUUUUUAGGGAGAGAGACUUCGGAAUUAGGGUUCUAAAGUUAGAAAUGGGAAAGUGAAACGCAGAUUGCUUUAUUUUCCUCUGCACGCGCAUAAAACGCUGUUAGGGCCGCUUCUUCUUUUUUUUUUAAAAAACAAGUAGAAAUAAAAUAAAAUAAACUAUAUUUUGGCCCCACUUUUGAAAUGCGGGGUUUCUUGAAUUUUUUUAAAAAUUUGAUAUAAAUUAAUAUUUUGAGAUUGUACAGUAUUAUGUCUCUGUAUUAUUUUGAAGCAAAUAAAUUAUUUAAAAUUAUAUAAUUUAUGAAUUAAUUCAUUUGAGGUUUUGUAUAUACAUUUUUAUGUAACGUUUUCUUAGGUCUAGACUUUUUAUUUUUGAUCCAAAAAUUUAACAAAAUCCGACAUAAAAAUAUAGAUUUGGUUUAGAUCCUGGUCCAUGGCAAAGUACUUAUUGGAUAUUUUUUUGACCCGUAUAUCUUGGUUCAGGCUGGGAUCCGAUUGGAUACUCAAAAUGCCUAUAAUAUUGUGUGUAUAUUAAGCAUUUUAGAUAUAUUUUUGGCAUUACAUAUAUUCAUUUAAACUUCAGAUUCAUAUUUUCAGUUAUACUUUUGAGUUUCUGUUAAAAUUUUUUAAAAUAUAUAUUUCAAAUAUUUGGAUGAACUUUUGGGUAUUUUUUGUUUUAUUGAAUCAAAUUUCGAGUAAAAUCUAGAAUAUUUUUGGGGAUUUAAAUAUGCUGGAUAUUUGUUUGAGUGUUUAGGUAAUUUCAUAUUUUUGGAUACUUCAGAAUUUUCCUGGUCCUAAAUACCAAACCAAUUCGGACCUGCUAUGUAUAAAAAAAAAUUACAACUGAGGAGUUUUACAGAUAUUUGAAUUAAGCCAACAGAUACUACAUGGUAUCAUCAUUUAUACUCAUCUGAGGAGUUUCUAAUCUUCGGAUUGUAAAGACACAAGAGAUACAUAAAGUUAAAACCCAUUACUAUGUGAAUUCUGUACAAAAAUAUUUUAAAAUGAGAAAUAAUUAAUUCAAACUGUCAUUUUUAGUUGUAUUAAUUAUUAUGCUUAGGUUUUUGGUUUUAAGUUUGCUAACAAAAAUUAAAUCUCUAUUUUGAAUAUCAAAUAUAUUAAAAUUUUAUAAUUGGAGUAAAUUUCAACAUAAACUGUAAAUAAUAUAUUGAAAAAAAGAUUUAACCAGAGUAUUAAAAAAAUUUAAAGACCAGAAUAGAAACUUAUAAUUAAAUAAUGCUCACUUAAUUACAUCUAUUCUAUUUAAAUAAUAUAACUUUAUACAUUUGUAAAUAUUAAAGGCUGCGGUUUUAGAAAACAUUUAUACCAUGUUCAGACAACAACAUGUACUACCUAUAAUCUUAGCAAAUGUUUAUGGUUUAUGAGAAGUUGUAAUGUUUAUUAGAUCCCUUUUAAAUAUAUAUAUAUAUAUAUAUAUAAGAUUUUUUAGUAUUCAAUUCUGCUGGUUUUAUUUUGCAGUAUUUUUUCAGUAAAAUCAUAGGUAAUUUAACAUAUUAAAUUUGAAUCUUCUGGUUUUUAAGUUUUCAAGGACUCUAACCUACGUGCUACGUUAGAGACACAUUGUGUUUGCACAUUUCCUUUGAAUCAUUGAUAAUUACUAUUCAAGUGGUACAGUUUAAAUACCUUCACUAUAAUUAGUUCACAGUUGAGAUAAGUUUGCAGCGUUGACCAUUCCACAGGCAAGAAUAAAUAUGUGGAAAAGUGUUUUUGAAAGUCUAUCAAAAAUUAAUUAAUCAUGUUAAAAUUGUAGAUAUGUUUGGAGAUUUGAAAAUAUUGUUGGAAGAUUUAUCACAUGAUAAAUUUAUAAUAAUACAGUUUAAGAUAAUAAAUGUUGUUAGGCAUAAAAAUAAAAAUGGCAAAGCAAAUCAAAGACAAAAUUUUAGGAGGACUUAUUUUUAUAGUAUAGAUUAAUAAUAAUGUUGUAUAGUUAAAAAAAUAUAAGGUAAGAUCAACAUAUUGUUAGUCAAAUAAAAUGGUAUAACAACCUUGUUUAAGUAUAUUUUUUAAAAUAUUUCUCUUUUAAUAGUAUAAUAACUAAGAAUAUUUGCAUGUUUUGGAAAUAGGGGCUAAAGUUUUAGAAAGUUCGACCAAAUUUUGGCAGUUUCAUUUUUAACUUUGAUCCUAAUUUUCUAGUCAAAAUUUCAUUUCUCACUUUUUUGUCAACUAUCUAUCUUUUUUUUUUUUUUUUUUUUUUUUUUUUUUUUUUUUGUUCAAGUCAACUAUCUAUCUACUAUACCAAGUUCUGGUCAAACAAACCUAUUCACUGGAUAGUAUCUUUGUAUGUCCAUGUCUGAUCUAACCAUAUUUGUAUGUAGGAGGCUUUCUGCGUCUUCCCUCUCCACUGGUUGGAUCAGCCAUGUUCGAACUGCUUCCUUCAUUGUCACCACCUUUGUUUUCUUGUUCUGUCUCAGUUUCUUUUGCUUCUUCAGUAUCAGCUUCCUCAUUCCAUGUAAGUUUAUUUGACUCACCUCCAGAUUCAUUUUUCCAUUCCCAUUCUUCAUCUUCCUCAAACACCACAUCUCUACUAAUGAUGAUUUUGCCUCUCAUUGGAUCGUAUAGCUGGUACGCUUUAGAUUCUUUAUUCAAUCCAAAACCACACAUUUGAUGCUCUUGUCAUCUAGAUUCUUUCGCUUCUCUUUAGGUAUGUGUGUGUGCGCUAACCUCCCGAACAGUCUGAAGUUAGACACAAGAGGUCUAGUCCUACUCCAUGCUUCUUCUAGCGUCAUUCCUUCCACUGCUGCAGCGGGACUUCGAUCCAGAACAUGAACACACCACAUAGUUUCUUCUGGCCAGAAGAUCUUUGGAACUUUCUUUCCACUCAGCACGCUCCUAACCAUGUUCAGUAUGCUUCUGUUCUUCCUCUUUGCUAUCCCAUUUUGUUGGGGUGUGUAAGCUGAAGUGAGCUGUCUUUGAAUUCCAUAGCCAUCACACAACUCCUUGAACUCACUUGAGUUGUAUUCUCCCCCUCUGUCUGAUCUCAAGCACUUGAUCAGAGCAUGUCUCUCUCUCCACCAGCGCCUUAAACUUCUUAAAUGCAUCGAGAGCUUGAGAUUUUUCUGAAAGAAAAUCAACCCAACACUUUCUUGAGAAGUCAUCUAUGAAAGUGAUGAUGUACCUCAUUUCACUACUGGAUUCUGGAGUUAUUGGCCCACAAAGGUCCGAGUGAACAAGCUGGAGGAUUUGUGAAGGUCUAUAAUUGCUCCUUUUUGGAAUGAUCUCUCUCUGCUGCUUCCCUGUUAUGCAAUCCUUGCACAGCUUGGUAGGUGCUGUCAACUGUGGUAACCCUCUGACCAUGUUUCCAGGCUUCAGUGUUUUCAAUCCACUGCAACUCAAGUGCCCAUACCGACAAUGCCACAGGUGAGUUGUGUCUUCUGACGAUGCCUUGAAGCAGAUAGGUUCUUGAGCCAUCAUCCUUGCAUUGAUAACAAACAUCCUAUUGAUUGUCAUGGCAGAAUUCAAGAUCAGACCCUUCUCUCUAUGGCAUAGCCCACACUCUUGAUCUUGAAUGAGCACUGCGAUCCCCUUUUCCACUAGCUAACCCACACUGAUAAGAUUGUUCUUGAGCUCCGGGAUGUAGUACACACUCGUGAUUAUGUGUGAAACGCCUUCAAUCUCCAACCUAACAUUUCCUUUCCCCACUACUGCCAUCUUUAAGUUGUCUCCCAACUUCAGUGAAUACUUGUAACUCUCAUCUAGAUCACUGAACCAUUGUCUUUCUCCUGUCAUGUGGUUGUUGCACCCGGAGUCAAGAAACCAAAUCUGAUCUGAGUUUUUGAUUUCUUCUCGCGCCAUCAAAACCAUGUUCUCGAUACCCAGUACCCACACAUAUAUUACAUACAUUUUUUUAUUUUUUGAAAAAUAUAUUACCAACAGUUAUAUAUAUAUACAUAUAUUAACAAAUAUUCCUUCUUUUUGGGUUUAUAUCAUGUUCAACGUCUCUGACUUCUUCAUUUUCAGAACAUGAAUGCAUGUGGCAGAUGUGGAAGGAAAAUCACCUUAGGUGCUUAGUGAUCUGAGAGCAAUGCAUUGCUUCUAAAUUCGGUUAUCAGCCAUUAAACAUCCCCACACCUCCACUAAACCUCUGAAUAACUUUGUGUUUCAGUUUGUGUGAGAAGUAGUAGAUGACCUGCCUUGAUAUUAGAGUUUCUCCCGGAUGGAAUACCAAAAAACAAUAUGUUCCAUCAUGGUGAGUAGCAUAUCUAGAAGGCACAGAGAAAAAAAUGGAGCAGACUGACCAAAUAUUAAAAUAAAAUAUUGAAUUGUUUCGGCUGACAAAAAUUCAUUUCUAGAAAAGGUACAUAAAGAGCAUCAAAAAAAUCAUGUAUUAUCAAAACCUCACUGCCUUAACCAUCCAUGGACUGGUUCCAGGGCAUGCACCACAUAACCUCUAUGGACAUAACCCAGUGCCUGUCAAAGCAUGUUGUUGUCUUGGUUGGUUCACAGAAAUAACGGAAAGAGAGAUAAACUACUCAUUUCAUGACUGUGCAAGAACUACGCCAAAGAAGCUAAGAGAUAUUAUCAAGUAAGAAGAAAUAAGUACCUGAUGGCCAAGACAAAUGCCUAGAAUUGGAAUAUCAAGAAAUUCAAGCAAAAGGCGAAGACAUAUUCCUACAGGGCCAGAGCCAUGUUCAAGAUGAGACAAACACAUGUGGGUCAACAAAGGGACAUAAAGCAAAAACUCAAUUAAAACUAGGCUGGUGAUUAUAUCAGCUGGACACAUGGGAGAACCAGGUCCAGGCAAUAUGACAAUAGUAUCAGAAGCAGUGUCUUCAUAGAAGUAACAGUAAGACGUCCACUCACAGUUCCAAAUAACCACCGGAGGCACUACACCGGAUACAAACAUAAGUUGAAAAACACACAGGCCGGAUACAAACAUAAGUUGAAAAACACACAGGAUCUAUGUAUAGAGAGUGACAAAGAGAAGGAUAAUAAGGUACCUCCAUUGAUAGUACUGAGUGCCUGAUGUAUAUUGAAUGUGUAACUAUCGUAAUUAUCAAUCAACAAAGUCCUCACAAAGCCAAGCCUUCUCACAGACUCUCUUCUCGGUAGACUCUUGUUAGCAAUGGACGAAUCUUCCAAGUGCCCUGGCACAAUAUGUCUCGAGCUUACUUGCCAAACCUAACACUCCAGCUGAUCCACCAUGACUCUCCCCAUCCUCCACUCUACAACCCUCUCGGCACCGUCUCCGACGUUCUCAAUUCCGCUUUCUUCUGUUCAAUCUCCUGUUCCCGUCUUUACUCAAACAAAACCGAUCUCAAGUGCGGUCCAGUCUCUAACGGCAACAAAUACUCGGUACUCGACCAACAGCCUUAAAAUCGUUGAAAAUAAAAGUGUGUUAGCCAUUCUUAUGAUUUUUUGUUUUAUUGAAUCAGAUUUCGAGUAAAAUCAAGAAUAUUUUUGGGGAUUUAAAUAUGUUUAGGAUAUUUGUCUUAGUGUCGGCUCUAGUUACUUUAGUUUAGGCAAACGGAACAUGAGAACAAGAAUCUCUUAGAAAUCAACGACUAAUGUUUCCAAAUUCUAAUAAGAAUAUCUUUAAGGAAAACAUGAUAAAACAGAAUUUUUUUAAUAUGUUUCUGCAAUAGCAAACAACAUGAUAAACUGAUGAUGGUUGUUAUCAUUAUUCAAUGGUAGCCAAUCUGAAUUCAAGAAAAAGAUAAAAACAAGAGUAACAAAAUUAAAAACGCACCAAACAUCAAAAAGACACAAGCAAGCAACCAUUGUAGUUGAAAAUAUCUCUGUCCGAUCUAUGAAAUCUGACCGCAGUCGAUCACGACGGGCCUGGAAAGCUUGUCCCUACGAGGUUCGUGUGAUAUGAUCCUGACCACAUCCAAUCCUUCAACAACUUGGCCGAAGACGACGUGUACAUCGUCGAGUUCCCAGUUCUCGGUCAAGGAGAUCAAAAACUGAGAUUGGUUGGUGUCAGGACCACCGUUGUUCAUGGAGAGGAU